AAAGAACGGAAGUAGAGAAAGUGAAGAAGUGUGAUUCUUUCAAAUUGUGGUGAUGUGCAUUUCGGUAUGGUUUGUCGCAUGUUUAGCGUUAAUUUAUUAAAAAAUAAGUGAAAUAUGCCGAAGUUUGUUUUCAAAGCUUGAUUCUAACGGUGUAUAAUUUGUUAACAGUAAUGUCCAAGUAGAUGCAUUUGGCAAGAAUGUAUGAAAAAAUGAAUUCACCUUUCAGAUAGAAUGACGUAAUAUUCGUUUCGAUUCUCGUGUAUCAUUUCGCAUAAUCAUUAAUAAUUUUCAAGUUGAUCACUAAUUUUCAAAAUGAAGUCUUCUACAAAUCAUUCCAAUAACGUGACAGUUUUCAAGCAUGUGAAAUACGAACAUCUAGUUGCUGGAAUUACUGGCGGAGUCACAUCAACGUUACUUUUACAUCCAUUGGAUCUUUUAAAAAUUCGAUUUGCUGUAUGCGAUGGUCGACAUUCAGUUCCUCAGUACAACAGUCUAACUGGCGCCGUUUCUCAGAUCUGUAAGCAAGAAGGUAUUCGAGGAUUAUACAAAGGAGUCACUCCAAAUGUCUGGGGUUCUGGCAGUGCUUGGGGAUUAUAUUUUUUAUUUUAUAAUUCGAUAAAAAAUUGGAUACAAGGAGGCAAUACGAAGAAACCAUUGGGUCCUACGAUGCAUAUGACUGCUGCAGCCGAAGCAGGAGUACUAACGUUGAUAUUAACAAAUCCUGUAUGGGUUGUAAAGACAAGACUAUGUUUACAAUAUGCUGAAGAGCAGCAUUCUUUGAAAAAUUAUCGUUAUAAUGGAAUGCUGGACGCUUUGAGGAAAAUUUACAACACAGAAGGCGUUCGAGGUUUGUACAGGGGUUUUGUUCCUGGUAUGUUAGGAGUCACACAUGGUGCUCUACAGUUUAUGACGUAUGAAGAAAUGAAAACGUAUUAUAAUCAGUAUAGAAAUGUUCCAAUUGAUUCGAAAUUGAGUACUCUCGAGUACAUCGGAUUUGCGGCUGUGUCUAAAUUUGUAGCUGCGGUGGCUACGUAUCCGUACCAAGUGAUAAGAGCACGUUUGCAAGAUCACCACUUACAUUACGAAGGGACAUGGGAUUGUUUCACUAAAACAUGGAGGUACGAAGGAUUUCGAGGUUUUUAUAAGGGUCUAAGCCCAUAUCUGCUACAUGUUUUACCAAAUAUUUGUUUAGUAUUGGUGAUUUACGAAAAGUUUACGGACAAUUAGUGCAAUUUUUGUUUUUUUUUCUACUCUACCAAAAUUUAUUAUAAUUUUUUUGUGUAGCUUUUAUUUAUUUAUUUAAUUAGUACCUACGUGAAAUUGUAUUUCUAAACCAGUGUUAUCUCGUAUACUGAACGGAUCAAUUUUUUUGUCCAAUUUGAUCGAAUUAGCGAAUUAGCGAUGUUUUUAUGUAAUCACUUAGCCGAGCCUGGAAUCGGAAUAAUUAUUGUUGAAUGAAAGUGAUAUUCGAGAUGUGAUACGAAAACAAUGUCAAUUGUUUUUCUUUUCGGUGUAAUGAAAUUGUGUUGGAAUGAGUGGGAUUGAUGGAUGACGCGAUGUUGAGGAAUGAAAAUAUAAUCGGAUACCAAUAUUUUGGUAAGUGUGCUGUAUUUUUAAUUCCUGAAAUGAAUGUGGAGGUUUGAUUGUAUGAACACGUGUUGUAUUUUUUUCCUAGUCUUUUUAGUAGAUUUUCUAUACUACGUCGAAUUCAUUUUCAGUUUUAGUUCAUUGGUUUUGUUUCUUUUAAAUGGAUAGUUCCGCUAUGAAAUGUUAGAUAAUGAAGUUGUCCGAAUAAUUACGUAAAACGUGAGUAAUGUAUUGGAGAUAUCUCAUUUGCUGAGACUGGAUGAGAAGUUGAGAGGUAGUGCACCGAGCUGUAGUAGGUAUGUGAGACACAAUAAAACUGCCAUCUGCAUUUGAUUUUUGAAAAGUCGGUUCAUUUGUAAAUUGACAUCGUGAGUAUCAGACGAUGCAAUUACACAUUAAAAUGACCGAAGACGAAAUUGAUGUGGUUACGUGUUGUAUAAUCCAAGGGUUAAAUUUGAAAUAUAUUCAAAACGAUUAUUCCAGUUUUUGUAUUAAAUUAAUAAAAGAUCGCCGAUGUAUUAGAUAACCCAAACUGUAAUUAACCUACAUUUCUCAUGUCUUCCGAAUUUUGAUAUCAUUAAAAUUUAAUCGCUACUAACGUUUGGGUUUGCGUAUCUAUUUAUAGAACGUUUUUCGUGUAGAAGAAUUUAAUGUAACACGUAUCAAUUUUCUCAUUUAUACGAACAAUUUUUUUAAGUUGAAGAGUGAUUUUGUGCAAUUCAUUUGUUUUAUUUAUGUAACCCGUACCGCUUCAAAAAUUUGACUAUGUAGGUAUAGGUUUCAAAAUCAUGUUGAGGAUCAACUUAUAUCGAUUUUUAAACAUUGUUGAAAUAUUGUUGAACGUAUUUAGUUGAUAGAUAGAUCGAUUUUUCUCCUUCGGAAGGGUGAUGUAGUAUGUAGUUUGAAAGGAGUGUAUGCUUACCUUCCGGCAUAUCGCUCACAUUUUUUUUUUAAUAAGAAAAAAAAAACUACAAAGAUGAAAAUAUAUUGUGCAUAAAAUGAUUUCUUCCUAUUUCUAUUCGAGGAUGCGAGAACAGAUUUGUCUCAUAGGUAACCAGAUUUAGAAAGAAGCUGAUAUCUUGAGACGUCAUGCAUCUAAUUGUUGUGCCAUUAUUAAAAUUCAAAAGUUGCUCUAUACUUUUGAAAUUCUUGCGAGAAGUAGUGAAGAAUGGCGGACGCUCUCCUUCAGAGUAAACUUUUGAAAAUUACAGUGAAUACAUUUUAAAUUUUCUAAAAUAUCACUACUUGUUCGGAUUUCAUAAUUGAAAAUAUAUUUUACAAGCUGGAGCAAGAUGUACCGAGGUAAAUAUUCACUCGAGAAACGAAAAUCAGUUUUCAUCGCAUUGUUUUGAGGUUUAGAAACAACUUUUAGCAAUUCGAUCAGCCGUAGUUUCUAGUUGUCUAAUUGAUAGUCAGUUGUAUUUAAACGUGAAGUAGACGCGAUAAAUUGGUAAUUUUGUAAGUUUCGAACAGUUCCUGAAUUAUGAUUAUUAAUUAUUAUUUUCUUAUAACUUAUUGAUAAUAAAAUGAGAUCAAGAGAAGGUAUCUGAUGAUGUUGUUAUGGAAAAUAUUUUGCUGUGAUGUGAUUUAUCUUAGUUAAUCUUGUAUUGUUUUUUCUUGUUUUUCUCUCUUUUAUUACGUUUUUUUUUCUUUUUUUCCUCUCUCUCUCUCUCUCUCUUCAAGUCGUUUAAUCAAUAAGUUAUGAGUUUAAAAUUAUUUUAAAUAUCUUCUGUCAACGUGUUAAUAUGCAUUUUGUUUCUUUUUUUAAAAAUUUCGUUUUUGAUUUUCGUAUUCGAACGCAAACGCUUUACCUUGUUUCCCCCUUUUUUUUUUGAAUGUAUACUUUCGUGUGUAUUGUUUUUUCAUUUGUCUCCAUAGUAGGGUAACAUGAAUGAAUUGUAAUCAAUACAGGAUUUACUAGAACCGUUGAAGAAAAUUUUUUGUUAUAUUUUUUCAAAUUUGAUGUACGUGUAUAUGUAAACUGUAUACAACUACAAUAAAUACAUAUUUAUUCCGAUGCUGUGAAAAUUUGUGAACAAAAUCUGUUUUAGGAUACCAAUUACUCUAAUUUGCGAUGAUACGGCUGAAAGAUACGAAGGUUGGUUAGGCUUCUACAAAGGGCUGACUCCUAACUUGUUAAGAGUAAUUCCUGCAACCGCUGUUACUUUCGUUGUAUACGAAAACGUAUCUUCAUUUUUAAUGAACACGAAGUGAAAUAUCGUUACACUUUGGACAUUGGUUUCUGGAGUUCUGAUUUAUCGUAUCGGACGAUUCAUGCUAAACUAGACGCUUUGUUAUCUCAUAGCGUCGAUAAGUGUAGCGCUCGAAUACUUACUGAUUUUUAUUUCUGGUCAUUUAUGAAAAUGUAGACGCUUAUAGAAUAUACCAUUAUCAAGUUUUUAA